ACCUGUGUUCAGUUGAUACUCACUGGCUCAAAGGAAACAAUGGCGAAGGUGUUUGUCAUCCAAGAUUUGAAAAGCUUUGAGUGUUCAUCUCCAUCAGAGCUUGACAAGAAGUUUUAUGGUGAACAAAGUUUGCUGUCUGCUUUGGCACUGGAGCAACUGUCCACGUCAAGAGUGUCAAAUGACACAAUGGCUGAGGGAUCAGACUCCAAGCUGUCCAUUUUGGCUUCCCUCUGCCUGUCAUCGGACCCUAUUUCUCCCUGUCAGGCCUCUUCAGUGAACAACUUCAGCACUCAAGACACUGACAAUUGUCACCUGACUUUGCCUUCACACAGACAAUCCUCCACUCCCCACAUGCUCCUUCAAAAGCAAAAAAAAGCUCCUUUUUCUGACCAGUCCUACAGUGAUCUCAUUGCAUCUCAAAUGUCAUGGGAUGUGUCUUUGAUUAAAUCAGAAAACAACAGCUCCAUACCCUGCAUGGAGUCCAGUGCUCUGGAGUCAACAUGGAGUCCAAAACCCCAAUCUGCGCAACAUUCACUUGCUGAAUUGUCUCCCUGACGUGGCCGAGAAUGUCCCUCUGAACAUGCACUUAACAUGGAAAAAUUCAGAGCUUUGAAAGGAAGAAGUGAUGUUUUCAGCUUUUUGUGUCUGUAUCAGUGAUAAAUCAAACAGGAUUUAAAAGACUGGAUGUGCAUGUGAAGGAUCAAUGUGUGAGGAUUUCUGCAGUGCUUCCAAUGAUUUCAUGUUUUUAAAGAUCUGAAUCUUCAAAUAAAAGUAUCAAAGACUUUA